rnacentral:lncRNA from 13 species
UGAGUAUAUAAACUAUAAAUACAUAAUAAUUUUUCUAUUACUGCCUAGAAGCAUUAUUUCUAGCUAUAUUAUAUCAAUCAGCCAAUAACAUGAAUAUGAAUACUGAUGGCAACACUACCUAAUGUUUAUGGUAUUACCAGGAGAAGGGACUAGAGGAUUUGUGAUUUAUCUGUUGCCUUGAUUUAGUGACUCAACUUUCUGUACAUUGAAAGUUGCCUUUAAUAAAAAAAAAAGUAUUUGACUUCUUAUUAUGAAGUCACAGUGGAUGUGAUGUAUGAGAUACAGAUCUUUUAACAGUAGAAUCUUUGUUCAUUUAUGUACUCACUUGGUCACUCACUGAUGACAACUAAUUGUCCUCAGAGCUGUGGCUUGGCAUUGGAAGAACCAUGAUGAACAGACAGAGACUGCCCUCAUAAAACUUACAGGCUCAUGUCAGAACAGACAUUAAGCUAAAUAUUCAGACAAAUAAGUGCAAAAUUGCAACUGCUUUCUGGAGGCUGGAAAGUCUAUGAUCAAGGCACAAGCAGAUUUGGCGUCUGAUGAGGGCUGAUUUCCUGGUUUAUCGAUCAUGCCAUCUCAUUGUGUGGUCACAUGGUGGAAGAGGGAAGGCGGAUGUCCGGGGUCUAUUUUAUUGCCUCCUCCUCUGAUUUACUUGAGCCAGUGUUUGAGUAAACUUCUUGCCUGGAAAAAUUACAGUCACCAAACUAAUUCAGUUACUGUUCAGAAUAAAUACACAGGGUCUGCUGGAGACCUUGGCAUUUUACUUCCCGGACAUAACUUUAUUCUGCUGGAGCAAUGCUCACAUUGCUCUGGAAACACUGGAAAAUCUCAAGAUGCAGGUCAGUCUGCUCCAUGGAUGAGUAUGAGGCCCCAAGCCAUCUCUCAAACUAAAGAUUCCCCAGCCAGAUAAUGCUGAAGAGUCUUCAACAAGGCAAUAUGAUUACUCUGUGUGCUUAGAAGAAGAGGGAUUAUAAAUGUCAGCUGUUGCUCUUUGACUCCUGCUGAUUGAUUCAUUGAUUCAUCUUUCCAACAGGCGUGUGCUGCAAGUUGAUUAUACUGAAUGACACUGCGGAG